rnacentral:rRNA from 1 species
AGUGAACGCUGGCGGUAGGCCUAACACAUGCAAGUCGAACGGCAGCACAGUAAGAGCUUGCUCUUACGGGUGGCGAGUGGCGGACGGGUGAGGAAUACAUCGGAAUCUACUUUUUCGUGGGGGAUAACGUAGGGAAACUUACGCUAAUACCGCACACGACCUACGGGUGAAAGCAGGGGAUCUUCGGACCUUGCGCGAUUGAAUGAGCCGAUGUCGGAUUAGCUAGUUGGCGGGGUAAAGGCCCACCAAGGCGGCGAUCCGUAGCUGGUCUGAGAGGAUGAUCAGCCACACUGGAACUGAGACACGGUCCAGACUCCUACGGGAGGCAGCAGUGGGGAAUAUUGGACAAUGGGCGCAAGCCUGAUCCAGCCAUACCGCGUGGGUGAAGAAGGCCUUCGGGUUGUAAAGCCCUUUUGUUGGGAAAGAAAAGCAGCAGGUUAAUACCCCGCUGUUCUGACGGUACCCAAAGAAUAAGCACCGGCUAACUUCGUG